AGGAAGUCUAGCACUAGGACCCAGGCAAAGGAGCAGAGCCUAUAAAUAGGGGAGGGACGCUCACCUGGAUCUUUCUUUCUGCAGUCAGACACACCUGAGAGAGCAGCUGAGGCUAGCCUUUGUUUGGUGCUUGAUUGGAAUCUUCUUGGUGGUGAGGGUGCAAAGCUUGGAGUGAUUGUUUAAGCACAUCAGCUAAAGCACAGAUUCCAGUCACCUGCCUGUUUUCAAUUGGGGGAGGGGAAUGUGCUUCCAAGUCAAGCUAGGUUUGU